rnacentral:sRNA from 1 species
UGGAGUGAAAUCCCCUACAUCCUAAGAUGUUACCACCAACUGGUUCACAGUUGGUUGGAUCAUUGUGGAAAAAAGACUGUCGAACAAGCAAGCAACC